rnacentral:rRNA from 1 species
CAGUCGCCGCGGUAAUCCGUAGGUGGCAAGCGUUGUCCGGAAUUAUUGGGCGUAAAGCGCGCGCAGGUGGUUUAAUAAGUCUGAUGUGAAAGCCCACGGCUCAACUAUGGAGGGUCAUUGGAAACUGUUAAACUUGAGUGCAGGAGAGGAAAGUAGAAUUCCUAGUGUAGCGGUGAAAUGCGUAGAGAUUAGGAGGAACACCAGUGGCGAAGGCGGCUUUUUGGCCUGUAACUGACACUGAGGCACGAAAGCGUGGGGAGCAAACAGGAUUAGAUACCCCCGUAGUCCCUGUCUCUUAUAA